GGAAUCUUGGGCAAUGGGCGCAAGCCUGACCCAGCCAUGCCGCGUGUGUGAAGAAGGCCUUCGGGUUGUAAAGCACUUUCAGUGGUAAAGAAAAGCCUGGGGCUAAUACCCCCGGGUCUUGACGUUAGCCACAGAAGAAGCACCGGCUAACUCCGUUCCAGCAUCCGCGGUAAUACGGAGGGUGCAAACGGUAAACGGAAUUACUGGGCGUAAAGCGCGCGUAGGCGGUUCGACAAGUGGGAUGUGAAAGCCCUGGGCUCAACCUGGGAAUGGCAUUCCAAACUAUCGGGCUAGAGUGUGGUAGAGGGAGGUAGAAUUUCCUGUGUAGCGGUGAAAUGCGUAGAUAUAGGAAGGAAUACCAGUGGCGAAGGCGGCCUCCUGGACCAACACUGACGCUGAGGUGCGAAAGCGUGGGGAGCAAAC
rnacentral:rRNA from 1 species